UUGCUAAUGUUGGGCCAUGUAAUACAUUAACGUUUUAAUGAAUAGUCUAAUGAUUUAUAAUCGUUGUACUCUAUUGUUAUAAUAUGUCUUUUUGACUGAAUACAUGUUUGUUUUAUUUGUCUAUAUCCUAGAUUCGCAGCUGGACACAUCCUUCUACACUGUAUGCAAACAUGCAACAUCAUUACACACAGUACUGGAGUCAGACUGGCAUAUGAGGAGCAAAGGAACCCAGGCAGUAGCAUCGUUUCACAAUGUUUCAAUCACCAUCAUCAGUGGAUGCCUUUGCCGUCCGUAGCCUGAGAUUUCAGAUUUGCAGCAAAAAAUUUGACUUUCCCAUUUAUUGGAAUGCUGUGCAGGUUGUACCUUGCAGCCAUCCAUUACAAUGUCACCAAGCCGUAACAAAAGCAGAAGAGGGAAAGUACAAGGCUAUGUUCCCAAAACACACAAGUGACAUACUGUAAGCAGUAAUGUUUUAUUUCAAAUACAUUCAUAAUUAAAAACUUAAUGUAUGAAGCAGGGAAAUAAAUGAUCAAAACAAAAGAUUUAUUGACUGCAAUAUUUGUACAGUUAUGUGGAUGAUGUGAUCAGGCUUGUGUUUUGAUGAGGUAUUUGAAGAUAAGCUGAAGGAAACCCUGAUUCCAAUGGACCUGGCAUCACAGUUUGAGAGACCUUCAAAGGAGGACGUGAUUGCAUGCCAUCUUCAGUGUAGGGGUCGUCGGAAGCCAACAUUCCGAUCAGGAAGCUCCAAGCAUAUCUGGAGAACAACACACGACAGGAUGAUAACCUUAUAGUGUCGUCUUAAAUAGCACCAGCUGACAAAGCUUUGAUAUGCCAUUUAUCUGAAUAGAUAGCUGUAAGAAGUGAAUUGAACAAUUUUUGAAAGAAGAGCUCAAUAUGGUUACUAAAGUAUGUUUAUUUGUAUAUUGUUUAACAUUUAAAUAUAUAUUUGUAAUAAAAAAACUUUUGACUGACUACUA